AUCCCUGUAGCUUAGUUGGUAGAGCAUGGUGUUUGCAACGCCAGGGUUGUGGGUUCGAUUCCCACGGGGGACC
rfam:Salmo salar isolate Sally breed double haploid chromosome ssa01, whole genome shotgun sequence.